rnacentral:rRNA from 1 species
AAUACAUGCAAGUCGAGCGGACAGAAGGGAGCUUGCUCCNGGAUGUAGCGGCGGACGGGUGAGUAACACGUGGGUAACCUGCCUGUAAGACUGGGAUAACUCCGGGAAACGGAAGCUAAUACCGGAUAGUUCCUGAACCGCAUGGUUCAAGGAUGAAAGACGGUUUCGGCUGUCACUUACAGAUGGACCCGCGGCGCAUAGCUAGUUGGUGAGGUAACGGCUCACCAAGGCGACGAUGCGUAGCCGACCUGAGAGGGUGAUCGGCCACACUGGGACUGAGACACGGCCCAGACUCCUACGGGAGGCAGCAGUAGGGAAUCUUCCGCAAUGGACGAAAGUCUGACGGAGCAACGCCGCGUGAGUGAUGAAGGUUUUCGGAUCGUAAAGCUCUGUUGUUAGGGAAGAACAAGUGCAAGAGUAACUGCUUGCACCUUGACGGUACCUAACCAGAAAGCCACGGCUAACUACGUGCCAGCAGCCGCGGUAAUACGUAGGUGGCAGCGUUGUCCGGAAUUAUUGGGCGUAAAGGGCUCGCAGGCGGUUUCUUAAGUCUGAUGUGAAAGCCCCCGGCUCAACCGGGGAGGGUCAUUGGAAACUGGGAAACUUGAGUGCAGAAGAGGAGAGUGGAAUUCCACGUGUAGCGGUGAAAUGCGUAGAGAUGUGGAGGAACACCAGUGGCGAAGGCGACUCUCUGGUCUGUAACUGACGCUGAGGAGCGAAAGCGUGGGGAGCGAACAGGAUUAGAUACCCUGGUAGUCCACGCCGUAAACGAUGAGUGCUAAGUGUUAGGGGGUUUCCGCCCCUUAGUGCUGCAGCUAACGCAUUAAGCACUCCGCCUGGGGAGUACGGUCGCAAGACUGAAACUCAAAGGAAUUGACGGGGGCCCGCACAAGCGGUGGAGCAUGUGGUUUAAUUCGAAGCAACGCGAAGAACCUUACCAGGUCUUGACAUCCUCUGACAACCCUAGAGAUAGGGCUUUCCCUUCGGGGACAGAGUGACAG